rnacentral:lncRNA from 1 species
UUACAUGCUGUUAGGUGUGGAAGGGCUGCUAGAGGACAUGUGGAAUAGUACAAAUAAGGAAAAUGAGGCAUUCUUGGGCAACUUGUACCUUUGAUAGACAAUAUGGCCACAUUGUGCGUCUAAAUUAAGCUUCAGUAAAUUAAGCUUCAGAAAAUCAUCAGAUCCACACUUGCAUUAUGGAAUGAGUGGCUCAAGAUGUUUUCAUGCAAAACAAAAAUAAUUUAUUUUAGUUUAAAUACAAGUGAUGCAAUAUAAAAGGGAAAAUAACAACAUUUAAGAAGUAAAAUGGCAUAAUCAUUAACUUGCAAUUAAGGAAUAAUAUAAACCAUCAAGGCUUAGGGUUCAGGGUAUCUCUGUUUUACCUCCUCAUGACUGUGUUUGAAUUAAGUAACUUUGGAAUAAGUAACUUUGCUUCUUUGUGCCUCAGUUUUCUCAUUUGUAAAAUGGACACAAUGAAAUCUGCCUCAUAAAAUUGAUGGAGAAUUAAUUAAUAUUUAGAAAGUGCUUGAAAUAUAACCUAGCACACAGAAACACUUAAUACAUUAUGUUAUUAUCAUUAUAAUAAAUAAUCAAGUAAUCUGUUUUAUAGCUAAGAAGGAAGAAAUUAAGACUAGCUCAUCAUAGUGCAUAUAAUUUAAGUAUAUAUACUAUUGUGUGACCAAUCCAAUAACUUCUCAAUCUCUCUGGAAAAUAUCUUCCAUAAAGUCUGCAGAAAUAAAAUAGUUACAUUCAUAGCCCCCUAGUUGCUAGCCAUGGCCAUAGGACAAAGUUUUGCCCAAUAAACUAUAAGCAGAAAUCUGAGAGAGGUUUCUGGAAAACCUUUGCUGACUUUGAGCUGUCUAUAUAAACCAUUCUUAAACUAACAAUAUUUUGAGAUUUUCACAUCCGUAUUUCCUAUGGCAGUUGUAAACUCUUGCAGGAAAAGAAUGUUUAAAGUGCAACUUGCAUUUUAGUACUGUUAACACACAGUGCUAGCAGUGAAUUAAACAAACGAAAUACAGUUGUUUUUAUUCCAUCCUCAGUGUUACCUUAAUACAGCUAAUUGAUAUGGAGAUGUUUUUUAAAAAGCAAAACAAGUUUUCACCUUUACAGUACAUGCUUUAGAAUAAUAGGUCUUCAGAAUGAUCACACGAUGCUAAAUUCAGCUUGUUUUCUUUAAUUUACUUUCUGGAAACCUACGAAGGUGCAUAGAGAAUUCUUUAGACAUGGAGACUUUGUAAAGCAUUGUUAAUUUGCCCUCUCAAAUUUCACUUGGAGCUAUGUUUUAAAAAGAGGAA